CCACGUGACAUUUUCAUUAUCCAAAUCCGUAAUCACUCCACCGCGCCACCGCAUCCAUAUCCAAUUCCAAUAAUGCACCAAACAUUGCAUAGUAUUCAUUUCAUGUCGGAUCCCCGUGAGCGUGUGACUCUAUCUGACGGCCACGCUUCUUCACAACAUUAAUUCAAUUCAAUUCCAUUCAACCAUACCUUUUUUUGUUUCCCACGUUUUACCCUAUUCAAUUCUUCAAUAUCAUCAAUAACUUAUCGUAAAAGAAAUAAAAUCAGAUUAAAAAAACACCAACACAGAACAAGGAUAUCGCUUGCGUUCGGUUUAGAACUCAAAACUGCAGAAUGAAAGAAAGAACACCAUCCUCUUAAAUAAUUAUAAUCUCAUUUCGAUUUAUUUAAUACUUUAAUUUCGAAUAUUCUAGAAUAUUAUGAUAAAGGCGUUUCUGGAUCGGAAUUAGGGUUUUUGCUGAUUCAGAUUCCGAUCGGAAAUGUCCGACACUCAAUCAGCCCCUCGAACCUCCGGUUAUCUCGAUGCUCUCUCUCAAGCGAUCCAUAAGAAGCUUCAGCGGGCGUUGGCUAAUACAUCGCAGAGGCGCAAUUUGUUGCAGGAGCUCUUUGCUGACAUAGCUUUAGAGGUCGAUGAUCGAGCCAAAGAUGUAAUUGUCAACAAGGAAGAAGAUGUCAUUUCUCCUGCAAAUGAUGCCAUUGAUGGUCCGUUGUGUUUCUAUGAUGUGCUUGCUGAUUACGUUGUGCGAGUGCCAGAAAGUGGAAAACCCAUCCUUGACUUGAUUGUCCAACUCUGGAGCCAGUCAUUUGCUUCACAUAUAUUUGCUCUCCUGUUUCACAAAUGGUUAUUUGAAGUUCAUCUUGAUAAUCGAGAAGUGCUUCUUCGGUAUUCAUCUGCCCUGGUUCAAGGUGCCACAAAUGUUUUCUGGAUUGACAUUCAAACAAAUACAAGGCGUUUCCGGUCUGUAUUCCGUUACCUCUUGGAUGAUGUUGCAUUAGACCACAGUAGAUUGAAUAAAAUUCCUGUUCAGGCUCAGCGAGAUAUGUAUCUUUUGCUCUCGCGGUUCAUUCUAUUUUACAAUUCAGCUGACAAAAUCGAUAGCUUCUUGAAACAAUGCCCUGUUUUCCAAACUGCUUUCUUAAUUGGUGCUCCUGCUGAUAUAUUUGUGAAUGAACUCACUGAUCAGCUUCAAAAGCUAAAGGUAGAACCUGUCCUGCUGCAUUAUCUUUCAGAAAUUAAGGUUCUUCAGGGUACUACAUCAACCAUUCAGGUAUGGAAUUGAGAAUGACUACAAGUACCAGAUUGAAAACUUGUUUGUAUAGUUUUACUUCUCCCGGUGGUCCAAUGUACCCGACUAGAGCUGUUCGUCAUGCUGCUUGGGAAGCACUAGAUUUGCUUUUUCCGGUGGGGCAAUACCCUCGGCAUCUCAUAAGUCUGUUCUUCAGGUUGCUUUAUCCAUGGUAUUGGCCAUCCUCUUGUUGGAACUUUGUGAUUUCUUGCAUCCAGGCAAUCUUUUUCUCCUUACUGAGGUUGAUAUUUUCUACGUGGGAAAGGAUUGCCAAACCAAAAACACAGUAAAUGUCUAUAUGUCUCGAGUGUGUCGUGUACAUGCAUGAACCCGAGUCAUCUCUUGCCAACCAGCACAAAUGCCUUGCUUCUUGAUAUUUCUUUCUUUCUUUUUUUUUUCACCUGAUGUGAUUUGUGUACAAAACAAGCUUGUUAAUGCGAUGUAUAUUUUGUUCACUAUGGCUCAGAUUAGGUUUACUAGUUCAAGUAAUAUAACGUGAGGAAAUAGACCACGGAAAACAAUUAAACAACGGCUGCGAUUCAUUUUGUUGAAGGAGAGACAAUAAUGUUUGAUUUAGUUCACUACUUGAUUUUUUUGGUUAUAUUUAAGACU